GACGAACGCUGGCGGCGUGCCUAAUACAUGCAAGUAGAACGCUGAAGGAGGAGCUUGCUUCUCCGGAUGAGUUGCGAACGGGUGAGUAACGCGUAGGUAACCUGCCUGGUAGCGGGGGAUAACUAUUGGAAACGAUAGCUAAUACCGCAUAACAGUAGAUAUCGCAUGAUAUCUGCUUGAAAGGUGCAAUUGCAUCACUACCAGAUGGACCUGCGUUGUAUUAGCUAGUUGGUGAGGUAACGGCUCACCAAGGCGACGAUACAUAGCCGACCUGAGAGGGUGAUCGGCCACACUGGGACUGAGACACGGCCCAGACUCCUACGGGAGGCAGCAGUAGGGAAUCUUCGGCAAUGGACGGAAGUCUGACCGAGCAACGCCGCGUGAGUGAAGAAGGUUUUCGGAUCGUAAAGCUCUGUUGUAAGAGAAGAACGAGUGUGAGAGUGGAAAGUUCACACUGUGACGGUAUCUUACCAGAAAGGGACGGCUAACUACGU
rnacentral:rRNA from 1 species